rnacentral:rRNA from 1 species
GCAGCAACCGGGAAUAUUGGCCAUGGGGAAACUGAGCAGCGACGCCGCGUGAGAGGAGUCUAUGAUGUAAACUCUUUGCAGCGUCACAGCUGAGAAUAAGCCUCUACUACUACGUGCAGAGUCUCGGUAAUACGUAGAGCAAGCAUUAUCGAUCAUUGGGCGUAAAGUGUGCGUAGGCGGCGUAGUGUGUCGUAUCUUAAAGACCAAGGCUUAACCUCGGAUAUGGAUACGAAACUACUAUGCUAGAGGAUUGUUAGGGAUGCUAGAACAGUUAGUGUAGCAGUGAAAUGCGUUGAUAUUAACUGGAAUACCGAAGGCGAAGGCAGGCAUCUGGAAUUUUCCUGACGCUGAGGCACGAAAGCUAGGGGAGCGAAACAGAUUAGAUACCUGUGUAGUCCUAGCUGUAAACGAUGUCCGCUAGCUAUCACUCACAGAGUGAAUAAGAAUAACUUGUUCAUUGUGUGAGUGGUGGUGUAAGCUAACGCGUUAAGCGGACCGCCUGGGGAGUACGGUCGCAAGACUAAAACUCAAAGGAAUUGACGGGGACCCGCACAACCGGUGGAGCGUGUGGUUCAAUUCGAGACAAAACGAAGAACCUCACCAAGGUUUGACAUUUUACCGUUUAGCCCUGUAGAAACACGGGGUGAUCCUUUCAGGAUGGUAAAACAGGUGCUGCAUGGCUGUCGUCAGCUCGUGCCGUGAGGUGUUCCCUUAAGUGGGGAAACGAGCGCAACCCCCGCCAAAUGUUAAAUAAUCAUUUGGGACUAUCCUGCCUAUUCGGCAGGGGGGAAGGAGGGGAAGACGUCAAGUCAGCACGGCCCUUAUACCUUGGGCUACACACACACUACAAUGGCGAAGAACAACGUGUUGCCAACCAGCAAUGGUGCGCUAAUCACUGAAAUUUCGCCUCAGUUCAGAUUGGAGUCUGAAACUCGACUCCAUGAAGUCGGAAUCGGUAGUAAUCGCAGAUCAGCAAGCUGCGGUGAAUACGUUCUCGGGUCUUGUACACACCGCCCGUCAAGGCAGCAAAGUCGGGAGUGGCCGAACACUUUUUAAUGUAGGUGGAGGCC